GACGAACGCUGGCGGCGUGCUUAACACAUGCGAGUCGAACGGAAAGGCCCUGCUUUUGUGGGGUGCUCGAGUGGCGAACGGGUGAGUAACACGUGAGUAACCUGCCCUUGACUUUGGGAUAACUUCAGGAAACUGGGGCUAAUACCGGAUAGGAGCUCCUGCUGCAUGGUGGGGGUUGGAAAGUUUCGGCGGUUGGGGAUGGACUCGCGGCUUAUCAGCUUGUUGGUGGGGUAGUGGCUUACCAAGGCUUGACGGGUAGCCGGCCUGAGAGGGUGACCGGCCACAUUGGGACUGAGAUACGGCCCAGACUCCUACGGGAGGCAGCAGUGGGGAAUAUUGCACAAUGGGCGGAAGCCUGAUGCAGCAACGCCGCGUGCGGGAUGACGGCCUUCGGGUUGUAAACCGCUUUCGCCUGUGACGAAGCGUGAGUGACGGUAAUGGGUAAAGAAGCACCGGCUAACUACGUG
rnacentral:rRNA from 1 species